AGGACCACCCUGCCUGACUCUCACAUGUUUUUUCCUUUCCUGGUCAUUUACCCAGAAAACACCUUCACUUCCUCUGCAACACACCCAAGGCCCAGGUGCACAGAUCUCCGUGACAGCCUGGAUGAUAACUGAGCUACAUCUUUAAACCCGUGAUUUCCUGCAAGCAUUUGGCAGCUGGGCCUACCCCGGGAGGCGGAACACGCAGGCGGCACCAGCAGAGAUCUGAACGCAGGCGCCUGCAGAGCACCGGGCAGCGUCCGCACGACCCGGUGCUCCCGUGCUGCCCCGCGCGCUCCCGCCCCAGCCUCGUCACCUCGCGAGAUCUGGGCAUGAAGUCCCGCUCCACCGCGUGCCCCACGAUCCGGCGUGGCUGGACAGGAGUUGCUUCUGCCGCUGGAACACUGUGUCCCUCCGCCGCCAGGCUCGUGAGCUUCACGUGCCGCUCCUUAGCUGCGGUGAGCACCCUUGCAAAGGCAACAUUUCUGAUGGCGAGUCUGCUGGCUGCCGGCUUCCUUCUCCUUCGUGUCCUCCGCCUCCCCAGACCCGAGCACAGGCCUCCAGAUACGGCUCAGGCGGUAUGGACCGCCACCUAUUUUUCAGAUACUUGCAGAAUGGGCUUCUUCCAGAGGUCCGGUCCAGGGGCCCUUCCUCUGAACUCGGAGACCCCAGCACCACCUGAGCAGUUACUCCUCUCUAAAGGUGUGUAUGAAAGCAUUUGUUUCUCUUCAACUUUGCCAACUGAAUUUGUUGUCAACUUUUUGGAUUUUUGCCAUCUCCAUAGAUGAAGAAACUGAGCCUAGAGACAUUAAGUGACAAACCCAAGGCUACUUAACUCAGAAGUGGUAGAGUUGAGUUUCAUCCCUGGGUCUUCUCCUCUGUUCUGUGUUGUUUCCCACUGCACACAGGCCUUCACGGACUGAAGUUCCAGGGGUCCCGGAUUUGCACGUUGGGGAUGAUAAAAGGCAGAGCUGAAACUUAUACCUGAUCACAUAGUGAGAACAGCUACUAUGAAGCUGGUCUCCAAACUUCUAACCAUCCUACUGGGAAAAUUAAAGGCAUCUUCUGAGGAUACAGGAAGAAAUUGAGUUUUAACCAUAGAGCAAUAAAAUCUGUUUCUGAGAAAUAAGAAAAUUCGAUGCCUUCCACAUACCUUGACCCAUCUUAGUAAUAAAGCUUGGUUUUUAUUCAACCAGAAGGAGAACAUCACUGCGGUUCUUCUUUUGCAGCGUUCCUCUACUUCCUCUAUCCCAAUAAAGGAGAAAUAUGCUUAUUCAGCAAGUCAGCUAUAAUUCUUUUUAAGGCAAAAAUUGUUCUUAGUAACCUGGUAGUGUUUCAUCUAGCUUAAGAGUCA
rnacentral:lncRNA from 1 species